rnacentral:rRNA from 1 species
UACGCAGGGUGCAAGCGUUAAUCGGAAUUACUGGGCGUAAAGCGUGCGCAGGCGGUUGUGCAAGACAGAUGUGAAAUCCCCGGGCUUAACCUGGGAACUGCAUUUGUGACUGCACGGCUAGAGUGCGGCAGAGGGGGAUGGAAUUCCGCGUGUAGCAGUGAAAUGCGUAGAUAUGCGGAGGAACACCGAUGGCGAAGGCAAUCCCCUGGGCCUGCACUGACGCUCAUGCACGAAAGCGUGGGGAGCAAACAGG